GAUGAACGCUGGCGGCGUGCUUAACACAUGCAAGUCGAACGGUGAAGCCCAGCUUGCUGGGUGGGUUAGUGGCGAAAGGGUGUGUAUCACGCGAGUAUCCUGUGCUUGACACUGGGAUAAGCCUGGGGAACACGGGCGAAUACUGGAUAUGGCUGCUCCUCGCACGGGGUGGGGGGGGAAGAGUUUGUGGGGUUGGAUGGACUCGCGGCCUAUCAGCUUGUUGGUGUGGUAUUGGCUCACCAAGGCGACGACGGGUAGCCGGCCUGAGAGGGUGACCGGCCACACUGGGACUGAGACACGGCCCAGACUCCUACGGGAGGCAGCAGUGGGGAAUAUUGCACAAUGGGCGGAAGCCUGAUGCAGCGACGCCGCGUGAGGGAUGACGGCCUUCGGGUUGUAAACCUCUUUCAGUAGGGACGAAGCGAGAGUGACGGUAACUGCUGAAGAAGCGCCGGCUAACUACGUG
rnacentral:rRNA from 1 species